CCUACGGGGGGCAGCAGUGAGGAAUAUUGGUCAAUGGCCGGAAGGCUGAACCAGCCAUGCCGCGUGAAGGUCAGUGCCCUAUGGGCGUUAAACUUCUUUUGUGCGGGAGCAAUAAUGGUCACGUGUGGCCAGACGAGAGUACCGUACGAAUAAGCAUCGGCUAACUCCGUGCCAGCAGCCGCGGUAAUACUGGGGAUGCAAGCGUUAUCCGGAUUUUUUGGGUUUAAAGGGUACGUAAGCUGUGCGGUAAGUCAGCGGUGAAAUGCCCCCGCUCAACGGGGUGAAGUGCCAUUGAUACUGCGUGGCUGGAAGGCGUAUGCCGUAGGAGGAAUGUGUGGUGUAGCGGUGAAAUGCAUAGAUAUCACACAGAACACCGAUUGCGAAGGCAUCUCACGAAUCCGCGAUUGACGCUGAUGCACGAAAGCGUGGGUAUCAAACAGGAUUAGAUACCCCGGUAGUC
rnacentral:rRNA from 1 species